AAUAUUGCACAAUGGGGGAAACCCUGAUGCAGCGACGCCGCGUGAAGGAAGAAGUAUUUCGGUAUGUAAACUUCUAUCAGCAGGGAAGAAAGAAGACGGUACCUGACCAAGAAGCCCCGGCUAACUACGUGCCAGCAGCCGCGGUAAUACGUAGGGGGCAAGCGUUAUCCGGAUUUACUGGGUGUAAAGGGAGCGUAGACGGUGGUGCAAGUCUGGAGUGAAAGGCAGGGGCUCAACCCCUGGACUGCUCUGGAAACUGUAUGACUGGAGUGCAGGAGAGGUAAGUGGAAUUCCUAGUGUAGCGGUGAAAUGCGUAGAUAUUAGGAGGAACACCAGUGGCGAAGGCGGCUUACUGGACUGUAACUGACGUUGAGGCUCGAAAGCGUGGGGAGCAAA
rnacentral:rRNA from 1 species